CAGAUAUUCCUCCGUCCAACGAAAGAUGUCUCAACUGACUAAAUUUGAAUGCAUCUAGAUACAUUCAAGUUUUGACAAAUUUGAGACAUUUUUUGUUGGACGGAGGGAGUACAUG
rfam:Brachypodium distachyon strain Bd21 chromosome 3, whole genome shotgun sequence.